AUAUCUGAGUAAUGUGUUUGCAAUUACGUCGUAUUACAUCUUAAAAAUUAAUCAAUAUAAUAUUGAAUAAAUGCUAUAUUUAUCAAAUAAUAAAAAUAAUCAUUUAAUUAAUAGGCAUGUUUUAUUUGACCAGCAAAUUAGGCUAUUAGCUUAUUUUGUAUGGAAGACUUAGCCAACAUAAUUAUGUUGUUGCAAUUUUAAUUCAAUUCAACUAAGCCGUGAACGGAUUUCAGUCAUUCUCAUAUUAAUCAUAUACCCCAAUUACUACAUAUUGAUUUUUAUCGGAUACAACAGUCCAGUGGGAAGGUAAUAGCCAUACUUUUUAGCACCGAAUGACGCAAGUCUAAGUCCACUUUCAAACAGGCAACUCCUGUUGCUAAUUCUCGGGUGAUUCUCUUUUGCUGUCGCCCAUUGCGUUCACACGAGCAAUUCUUGUUCGACAACUCUGUUCGUGUCUUUCUCUCAUUCUCUUUCAUAUAAUAUUCUCAACUUCUUGUACGCAUCGUUUCCAAGCAAAGAAAUAUAUUUCAUUAACUAAUUUUUAUCGUUAUUCUCAAUUUUCUAGCACAUUUUAAUUAUAUUAUGCAUAUUUCUAUAUGUUUUUGCAAUUACAUACAAAAUUAAAUGAUUAAAUUCAAAUUUUCAAAUAUAUUGUAAACAUUAAUUUUAAAAUGUGUGCAAAUGCAACCAUGUUACGUAGCAGCGAACUGUUACGAAUAAAAACCCAAAGCGUGUUGCCUGAACACAGCAGACCCGGCGCGAUUCUCCUCUCCUCGUCGCCUCCUCUCCUAUGACCCCUUUCACACGGGCAAUUUUUGUCGCGGCAAUUCUUAGCUUUAUAGGAGAGGGACUAUAUAAGUCCACUUUCACACGGGCAACUUUUGUUGCUAAUUCUCGGGCGAUUCUCUUUUGCUGUCGCCCCUUGCGUUCACACGAGCAAUUCUUGUUCGACAACUCUGUUCGUGUUUUUCUGUCAUUCUCUUUCAUAUAAUUUUCUCAACUUCUUGUACGCAUCGUUUCCAAGUAAAAAAAUAUAUUUCAUUAAGUAAUUUUUAUCGUUAUUCUCAAUUUUCUAGCACAUUUUAAUUAUUAUAUGAAUAUUGUAUUUGCAAAUUACAUACAAAAUUAAAUGAUUAAAUUCAAAUUUUCAAAUAUAUUGUAAACAUUAAUUUUAAAAUGUGUGCAAAUGCAACUCUGUUACGUAGCAGCGAACUGUUACGAAUAAGAACACAAAGCGUGUUGCCUGAACACAGCAGACUCGGCGCGAUUUUCCUCUCCUCGUCGCCCCCUCUCCUAUAAAACUAAGAAUUGCCGCGACAAAAAUUGCCCGUGUGAAAGGGGUCUAACUAAGAAUUGCCGCAACAAAAAUUGCCUGUGUGAAAGGGGUUUAACCGAAAUAUCCACCCUUAAUUAUAGCUGUCAUCGAUUGGCCAAAAGAACGCUCUAUCCUGUAAUUCAAACAGACAGGCAGCACUUAUGGUGCAAGCCUGCGCUAAAAUGUCCUCUUAAUCAUGCGCUAUAGUGCUGAACCACUUUCUUAGCUGGAGAAUUACUUAAAUCUGCACAAAAAUAUUUUUUAUCCAUUCGUUUCGUGCUGCGUCUAUGUCUUACGUUUUAUUUAAUCAAUUAAAAUGUAUUUUAAAGUGAAAACUACAAAAAUAUAUAUUUGUAUUGCAAAAUUUUGGCAACACUCAGCAAGCGGCGAUAGAAUUUUUAAUGAGGCGAACAGCGCGCAAAGAUAGCGAGCAGAGAAGUGACCAAUCGGUGACAGCUUAUAUUUCGACAUCUUCUUCCAAUUUAUGCGAUAUAAACUUAAUCAAAGGGACAAAAUGUAAUCUUUGUUAUAUUAAGAAAUAAAUAUAUUAGGGAUACGGAUCAAUAUA